AGUAAACUGGUAUUUUUCAUUAGUAAAAGUCAUCUCUUAUGGUGCUUCACAGUCCAAAGUUAUAAAGUGAUACUUUAAAGAUAAACUGUUAAUUGUCAGUAGCAAAUAUGUAAAGUAUAAAACAGAUAUGGGAAUGAUAGGUACUAACUUUAGAAUAGUGGUUACCUCUGGAAAGGAAUAAAGUUGAAUAGAUGGAGGAGCUUUAGCUGUAGCUACAUUUUACUUCUUAAUAAAAGAAAAAAGCUUUAGGAAUUUGGACCUGUUACCGAGGCUGCUGUCGCCAUGUUCCUGUCCGCGGUCACCUUUGUCAAGACCAAGUCAAAAACAAUUCUGGUGAAAAUGUUGAGCCAAGCUGGAAGAGGUUUUUCCUUCAACACUAAGAGAAGCCGACUGCGGGAGAAACUGACUGUCUUGCAUUAUGAUCCACUAGUGAAAAAAAAAGUCCUCUUUGUGGAACAGAAAAAAAUACGCUCCCUCUAAACAAUGGAUUGAAAAUGAAUUUGAUUUAUAAAUGAGAAGACUGAGGGCGGGAUACUGAUUCAGAAAUUCUGCAGCGUGUAAUGAAAGAAGAGGAAAUGGCAUGGAAUCACUGCCUCCUGUGAUUUGAAGGCCAUUGUGAAGGAAAACAAUGCAGUGAAAGAAAGUUCUUCAUAUUAGGACAUAUAUCAUUGCAUCACAUUUAUUUAUCUUUCUGGAU